rnacentral:rRNA from 1 species
UAACGCUGGCGGCUGCUUAACCCAUGCGCUUGCACGAACGGGUUUAAGUUUAUUCCACUUAAGUUCAAGUAGCGGACGGGUGAGUAACGCGUAAGAACCUACCUUUAGCGUAGGGAAUAACUAUUGGAAACGAUAGAUAAUACCUUAUAAGCUUAUAGUAAAAGAUAAAAUCGCCUAAGGAUGGGCUUGCGUCUGAUUAGCUUGUUGGUGAUUUAAAAGAUUCACCAAGGCAACGAUCAGUAGUUGGUCUAAGAGGAUGAUCAACCACACUGGGACUGAGACACGGCCCAGACCUCUACGGAGGGCAGCAGUGAGGAAUUUUCCGCAAUGGGCGAAAGCCUGACGGAGCAAUGCCGCGUGGAGGAUGAAAGCUUGUGAGUCGUAAACUCCUUUUCUUAGUGAAGAAAUAAGACGGUAUCUAAGGAAUAAGCAUCGGCUAACUCCGUGCCAGCAGCCGCGGUAAUACGGAGGAUGCAAGCGUUAUUCGGAAUUAUUGGGCGUAAAGCGUCUGUAGGUGGUUUUUUAAGUCUACUGUUAAAUAUUAAGGCUUAACCUUAAAAAAGCGGUAUGAAACUAAAAAACUUGAGUUUAGUAGAGGUAGAGGGAAUUCUCGGUGUAGUGGUGAAUGCGUAGAGAUCGAGAAGA